rnacentral:rRNA from 1 species
UACGGGGGGGGCAAGCGUUGUUCGGAAUUACUGGGCGUAAAGGGCGCGUAGGCGGCCAACUAAGUCGGACGUGAAAUCCCUCGGCUUAACCGGGGAACUGCUUCCGAUACUGGAUGGCUAGAGUGUGGGAGAGGGAUGCGGAAUUCCAGGUGUAGCGGUGAAAUGCGUAGAUAUCUGGAGGAACACCGGUGGCGAAGGCGGCAUCCUGGACCACGACUGACGCUGAGUGAGCGAAAGCCAGGGGAGCAAACGGG